rnacentral:sRNA from 1 species
AAUCGAAGUGAUGUUCGGAGGGCGACCCCUU